GCUGGUGUGGCGCAGAGGUAAGCGUUCUUCUUUUGGGUAAUACUACUUUAAUAGAAGAGGUCGGGAGUUCGAUCCUCUCUACUGGCC